GAUGAACGCUGGCGGCGUGCCUAAUACAUGCAAGUCGAGCGAACAGACGAGGAGCUUGCUCCUCUGACGUUAGCGGCGGACGGGUGAGUAACACGUGGAUAACCUACCUAUAAGACUGGGAUAACUUCGGGAAACCGGAGCUAAUACCGGAUAAUAUAUUGAACCGCAUGGUUCAAUAGUGAAAGACGGUUUUGCUGUCACUUAUAGAUGGAUCCGCGCCGCAUUAGCUAGUUGGUAAGGUAACGGCUUACCAAGGCAACGAUGCGUAGCCGACCUGAGAGGGUGGUCGGCCACACUGGAACUGAGACACGGUCCAGACUCCUACGGGAGGCAGCAGUAGGGAAUCUUCCGCAAUGGGCGAAAGCGUGACGGAGCAACGCCGCGUGAGUGAUGAAGGUCUUCGGAUCGUAAAACUCUGUUAUUAGGGAAGAACAAAUGUGUAAGUAACUAUGCACGUCUUGACGGUACCUAAUCAGAAAGCCACGGCUAACUACGUG
rnacentral:rRNA from 1 species